AUUGCUAAAUGAUUCUACAAAAUUUGUGCCUAAUUCUUCCCGGGCUGUGAGAUUUGACCGAAGAGAGAGGAAACGCUUAGCUCAUGAGAUAUUGGAUAAUGAUGAGAAUGAAGCCCCUGCUAAGAGGAGAGCACAGGAUGGUACCGGUACUGCUCUUCACGGCACGGCGCCUCCAUUUGCACGGCCUUACUACUUCAGUCCUCUUGAUCACCUCUGCAAUAGUAAGUUUUUGUUAACUUGCUUAAGAUCUCUAAGACAUUUAUUUUUUACUUUUUAUUUUAUUUAUUCAAUGGUCAAUGUGAAUGCCAGGCUUGCAUGUGCACUGUUCAGAAAAUGCAAUAUUUUGGCUGUUGAAAAAAUAAUACAAAGCACUCUCGAAUAGCCUUGUUCAAGGUAAGGCAUACCUUCGAGACAUCAAAAGACACAAUUUUCAUCUUUAAUGGAUACUAUGAUAUUAUUUUAACCAAAUACUUUGAAUGAGUUUAUAUACUAUUUACUCACUCAUCAUGCCACAUGCAAGUUCUGGGUUGUGUUACAAUAAGGUAUCUGCAUGGACUUAUUUGAUAACACCAAUCAACAGGCGGGAACCUGCUCUUAAUCCUGAGCAUAAUAUAACAACAGUAUGGAAAAUUUUAUUCAUUUACUGUCAUUCUGCGUCUGUAGAAAAUAUUCCAUUCAAAACAUCAAUUUCUCCCUCAUUAAUAGCUACACC